GGGGGCGUAGCUCAGAUGGUAGAGCGCUCGCUUCGCAUGCGAGAGGUACGGGGAUCGAUACCCCGCGUCUCCA
rnacentral:tRNA from 1 species